UUAAUUGAAGAGUUUGAUCAUGGCUCAGAUUGAACGCUGGCGGCAGGCCUAACACAUGCAAGUCGAGCGGCAGCACAGAGAAACUUGUUUCUCAGGUGGCGAGCGGCGGACGGGUGAGUAAUGCCUGGGAAAUUGCCCUGA
rnacentral:rRNA from 1 species